UAGGGAAUCUUCGGCAAUGGACGGAAGUCUGACCGAGCAACGCCGCGUGAGUGAAGAAGGUUUUCGGAUCGUAAAGCUCUGUUGUUAGAGAAGAACGUUGGUAGGAGUGGAAAAUCUACCAAGUGACGGUAACUAACCAGAAAGGGACGGCUAACUACGUGCCAGCAGCCGCGGUAAUACGUAGGUCCCGAGCGUUGUCCGGAUUUAUUGGGCGUAAAGCGAGCGCAGGCGGUUCUUUAAGUCUGAAGUUAAAGGCAGUGGCUUAACCAUUGUACGCUUUGGAAACGGGAGGACUUGAGUGCAGAAGGGGAGAGGGGAAUUCCAUGUGUAGCGGUGAAAUGCGUAGAUAUAUGGAGGAACACCGGUGGCGAAAGCGGCUCUCUGGUCUGUAACUGACGCUGAGGCUAGAAAGCGUGGGGAGCAAACAGG
rnacentral:rRNA from 1 species